ensembl:snoRNA
UAGUCUGAAGUGAUGGCUCUUUAAAUUUCAUAUCUUUGACAUUUUUCUCUGAAGAAAGUUUUUUUCUUACUCACUGGAUCAGAAUG